AUGAAAGACCCACCUCUGUCCUCCACCACUGUAUCCACACUCACCCUCACUCCCGUCACCCUGAACUCCCGAGUCACUGGCUCUCAGGCCAUCUUGCACUCCUCUGCCUGGAAUGACACAUAUUACCCUGUGUGCAUCUCCUUCCUGCCACUGACCACAGUUGAUGGAAACUACCUCUUUCCUUGUCUGGCACCCCCACGAGAAGGGAGAAGCCAGGGGGAAGGAGGGUGGCCCCAGUCUGUGGCAGGGGAGGAGGGCGAAGAGGGAGGAAUUCUUGGUGGCCCCUUCCCGCUGUGCUCCUACAGCGAGCUGCACUCCGGGCCAGGGACCCGGCUCGCGGUGCUGGGAGGGGAGCGGGGCGUUGAGGACGCCAGCAGGGCCGCGGGACCCCUUUUUGUGCUGAGCCCUGAAGCUGUGAGCGCUGCCACUCAGUACUUCGGGCCGGGCACGCGGCUCCUGGUGCUAGAGGACCUGAGCAAGGUGACCCCGCCCAAGGUGGCUGUGUUCGAACCGGCAGCAGCAGAGAUCUCCCGGACCCAGAAGGCCACGCUCGUGUGCCUGGCCACGGGCUUCUACCCCGAUCACGUGGAGCUGAGCUGGUGGGUGAACGGGAAGCAGGUCAAGACAGGGGUCAGCACGGACCCUCAGCCCCACAAGGAGGACCCCAGCCGCAAUGACUCCAGCUACUGUCUGAGCAGCCGGCUGAGGGUCUCCGCCACCUUCUGGUACAACCCUCGCAACCUCUUCCGCUGCCAAGCCUGGUUCCACGGGGUCUCGGACGAGGACGAGUGGAAGCAGGACGGGCCCAAGCCCGUCACCCAGAACAUCAGUGCCGAGGUCUGGGGCCGAGCAGACUGUGGCCUCACCUCGGCGUCCUAUCAGCAAGGGGUCCUGUCUGCCACCAUCCUCUAUGAGAUCCUGCUGGGGAAGGCCACCCUCUAUGCUGUGCUGGUCAGCGCCCUGGUGCUCAUGGCCAUGGUUAAGAAAAAGGAUUCCUGAGACCAGCUCCAAAAGUGCAUCCUGAGUCAUUCUUUAUCCUCUCCUUGUAUUCUCCUUAACAUGUUUCCAGUCUGUGUUCCUCAAGAGUUUCUCUCUCUCCACCUUUUAUCUCCUUCCUACGUGGAUAUCUGUUCCUUCUCUCAGCUUCCCUGUAGACUGAGCUCCUCACCACUGAAUCUGAAAUUGACUAAAGCAAUAAAAGUGUCAUG